GACGAACGCUGGCGGCGUGCCUAAUACAUGCAAGUCGAACGCAGUGGGGACGGGUGAGUAACACGUGGGUAACCUCCCAUCAGAGGGGAUAACACUUGGAAACAGGUGCUAAACCGAUACUGAUGGAUGGUCCCGCGGUGCAUGAGCUAGGUGGGGAGGUAACGGCUCACCAAGGCCACGAUGCAUAGCCGGCCUGAGAGGAUGAUCGGCCACACUGGUACUGAGACACGGUCCAGACUCCUACGGGAGGCAGCAGUAGGGAAUCUUCGGCAAUGGACGCAAGCCUGACCCAGCAACGCCGCGUGAGUGAAGAAGGUUUUCGGAUCGUAAAACUCUGUUGUUAGAGAAGCGGUAUCUAACCAGAAAGCAACGGCUAACUACGUGCCAGCAGCCGCGGUAAUUC
rnacentral:rRNA from 1 species